rnacentral:rRNA from 1 species
UACGAAGGGGGCUAGCGUUGUUCGGAAUUACUGGGCGUAAAGCGCGUGUAGGCGGGUCUUUAAGUCAGGGGUGAAAUGCCAAGGCUCAACCUUGGAACUGCCUUUGAUACUGGAGAUCUUGAGUCCGGGAGAGGUGAGCGGAACUGCGAGUGUAGAGGUGAAAUUCGUAGAUAUUCGCAAGAACACCAGUGGCGAAGGCGGCUCACUGGCCCGGAACUGACGCUGAGACGCGAAAGCGUGGGGAGCAAACAGG